ACCCAUACGACGAGUCUCAAAUAGGACGAAAGGUGCAUCGUGGAU
rnacentral:hammerhead_ribozyme from 1 species